rnacentral:rRNA from 1 species
GAUGAACGCUGGCGGCGUGCUUAACACAUGCAAGUCGAACGGAAAGGCCCAAGCUUGCUUGGGUACUCGAGUGGCGAACGGGUGAGUAACACGUGGGUGAUCUGCCCUGCACUUCGGGAUAAGCCUGGGAAACUGGGUCUAAUACCGGAUAGGACCACUUCUUGGAUGUUGUGGUGGAAAGUUUUUUCGGUGUGGGAUGAGCUCGCGGCCUAUCAGCUUGUUGGUGGGGUAAUGGCCUACCAAGGCGUCGACGGGUAGCCGGCCUGAGAGGGUGUACGGCCACCUUGGGACUUGGAUACGGCCCCGACUCCUACGGGGGGCAGCAGUGGGGAAUAUUGCACAAUGGGCGCGAGCCUGAUGCAGCGACGCCGCGUGGGGGAUGACGGCCUUCGGGUUGUAAACUCCUUUCGCUAGGGACGAAGCGUUUUGUGACGGUACCUGGAGAAGAAGCACCGGCUAACUACGUG